UACAGAAGGUGCGAGCGUUAAUCGGAAUUUCUGGGCGUAAAGGGUGCGUAGGUGGUUUUGUAAGUUAGGUGUGAAAGUCCCGGGCUUAACCUGGGGAUUGCGCCUGAUACUGCAAAGCUAGAGUACUGUAGAGGAAAGUGGAAUUUCCAGUGUAGCGGUGAAAUGCGUAGAUAUCAGGAGGAAUACCGAUGGCGAAGGCAGGUCCCUGGGUUGACACUGACGCUCAUGCACGAAAGCGUGGGGAGCAAACAGG
rnacentral:rRNA from 1 species